AACGAACGCUGGCGGCAUGCUUAAUACAUGCAAGUCGAACGAGAAAGUUCCUUCGGGAAUGAGUAUAGUGGCGCACGGGUGAGUAACACGUAGGUGACCUACCUCUAAGUCGGGGACAACAUCGGGAAACCGAUGCUAAUACCGGAUGUGGUAAUCGAAUUUGAAAAUAGAUUACUAAAGACAGCCUCUGCAUAUGCAGUUGCUUGGAGAAGGGCCUGCGGUACAUUAGCUUGAUGGUGGGGUAAUGGCCUACCAUGGCUACGAUGUAUAGGGGGUCUGAGAGGAUGAUCCCCCACACUGGAACUGAGACACGGUCCAGACUCCUACGGGAGGCAGCAGUAGGGAAUAUUGCGCAAUGGGCGAAAAGCCUGACGCAGCAAAUGCCGCGUGAGUGAGG
rnacentral:rRNA from 1 species